AUCGACCCUUUCUUCUCAGUCAAGUGUUCUUUAAUUGAAACCCUAAUUUCUCAAAGCUUCUUCCUUGUUUCUUGUCUGGGGAUAAUCAGGGUCGUGUUUGCAAUGGCGAAAAGUUCCUUCAAGCUUGAGCAUCCAUUGGAAAAGAGGCAGGAUGAAGUUGCUCGCAUCAGGUCGAAGUAUCCCGAUAGAAUUCCCAUUAUUGUUUAGAAGGCUGUAAAGAGCGACGUUCCUGAUCUUGAUCAAAAGAAGUUAGUUGCAUCUUCCCUUGGAGUUUAUUCGGUCUGCUAUUUGCAAAACAUGCCCGGAU